GUAGGUGGCAAGCGUUGUCCGGAAUUAUUGGGGCGUAAAGCGCGCGCAGGCGGUUCUUUAAGUCUGAUGUGAAAGCCCACGGGCUCAACCGUGGAGGGUCAUUGGAAACUGGAGAACUUGAGUACAGAAGAGGAAAGCGGAAUUCCACGUGUAGCGGUGAAAUGCGUAGAGAUGUGGAGGAACACCAGUGGCGAAGGCGGCUUUCUGGUCUGUAACUGACGCUGAGGCGCGAAAGCGUGGGGAGCAAACAGGAUUAGAUACCCUGGUAGUCCACGCCGUAAACGAUGAGUGCUAAGUGUCAGGGGGUUUCCGCCCCUUAGUGCUGCAGCUAACGCAUUAAGCACUCCGCCUGGGGAGUACGGCCGCAAGGCUG
rnacentral:rRNA from 1 species